AUUUGAUGAUGUGGACAUUGAAUUUGUAACUCUCCGAAUCUUUCCCAAGCUUCAUAGAAUUGUUCAGUAUGUUUUUGCUUGAAAGUUUGAAUUCUAUUUCUAAGUUC
rnacentral:snoRNA from 1 species